AUGGUCAGAUUGAACGCUGGCGGCAUGCCUUACACAUGCAAGUCGAACGGUAACAGGUUAAGCUGACGAGUGGCGAACGGGUGAGUAAUGUAUCGGAACGUGCCCAGUAGUGGGGGAUAGCCCGGCGAAAGCCGGAUUAAUACCGCAUACGACCUACGGGUGAAAGCGGGGGAUCGCAAGACCUCGCGCUAUUGGAGCGGCCGAUAUCAGAUUAGGUAGUUGGUGAGGUAAAGGCUCACCAAGCCGACGAUCUGUAGCUGGUCUGAGAGGACGACCAGCCACACUGGGACUGAGACACGGCCCAGACUCCUACGGGAGGCAGCAGUGGGGAAUUUUGGACAAUGGAWRMRRRUGUGAUCCAGCCAUGCCGCGUGCGGGAAGAAGGCCUUCGGGUUGUAAACCGCUUUUGUCAGGGAAGAAAAGUCUGGAGCUAAUAUCCUCYGGACGAUGACGGUACCUGAAGAAUAAGC
rnacentral:rRNA from 1 species